rnacentral:rRNA from 1 species
GACGAACGCUGGCGGCGUGCCUAAUACAUGCAAGUCGAACGAACCGCGACUAAGUGCUUGCACUAAGUCAAGGUGAGUGGCGAACGGGUGAGUAACACGUGGGUAACCUACCUCAUAGUGGGGGAUAACAGUCGGAAACGACUGCUAAUACCGCAUAGGACAUAGGAUCACAUGAUCCAGUGAGGAAAGGUGGCGCAAGCUAUCGCUAAGAGAUGGACCCGCGGUGCAUUAGCUAGUUGGUAGGGUAAAGGCCUACCAAGGCGAUGAUGCAUAGCCGACCUGAGAGGGUGGUCGGCCACAUUGGGGCUGAGACACGGCCCAAACUCCUACGGGAGGCAGCAGUAGGGAAUCUUCCGCAAUGGACGCAAGUCUGACGGAGCAACGCCGCGUGAGUGAAGAAGGUCUUCGGAUCGUAAAGCUCUGUUGUUAGAGAAGAACAGCGCAUAGAGUAACUGCUAUGCGUGUGACGGUAUCUAACCAGAAAGCCACGGCUAACUACGUG